rnacentral:rRNA from 1 species
GACGAACGCUGGCGGCGUGCCUAAUACAUGCAAGUUGAGCGCUGAAGGUUGGUACUUGUACCAACUGGAUGAGCAGCGAACGGGUGAGUAACGCGUGGGGAAUCUGCCUUUGAGCGGGGGACAACAUUUGGAAACGAAUGCUAAUACCGCAUAAAAACUUUAAACACAAGUUUUAAGUUUGAAAGAUGCAAUUGCAUCACUCAAAGAUGAUCCCGCGUUGUAUUAGCUAGUUGGUGAGGUAAAGGCUCACCAAGGCGAUGAUACAUAGCCGACCUGAGAGGGUGAUCGGCCACAUUGGGACUGAGACAAGGCCCAAACUCCUACGGGAGGCAGCAGUAGGGAAUCUUCGGCAAUGGACGAAAGUCUGACCGAGCAACGCCGCGUGAGGGAAGAAGGGUUUCGGAUCGUAAAACUCUGUUGGUAGAGAAGAACGUUGGUGAGAGUGGAAAGCUCAUCAAGUGACGGUAACUACCCAGAAAGGGACGGCUAACUACGUG